GGGCGUAGUUCAAUGGUAGAACACUAGCCUUCCAAGCUAGAUACGUGGGUUCGAUUCC
rnacentral:tRNA from 1 species